GGCCAGCCGCACCCACGCAGCGCUGCUUCAAAAGUUACAGACAAGCAGGCGGAGUGAGCAGCGCUUGCCCGGCUGCCCACAGCCGAGAAGAGGGAAGGAAACUCCCGCGGCAGGGGAUUGGCUUCUCUGAGGUGAGGACUGUGCGUUCCUAGCUCAAGCCCGGAAACCUCCUUCCUUGUGAUCUUCGGAGGGCGGCAGGGAGCGUCGCUCAUCCUUUCUGAGCCCCCACCAGGAGGAGCCAGCUGUGUGUGGGCCCACGCUGCGGGUGUCCCCUUCCAGGCAGGACCCCCAGAGGUGGUCAGGCUUCAGGAUGGAUGAUGAACUUCCAAAAAGGAAAAAGAUGGAAAAUCAUCGAAUUACC